UGGUCAAUGUGCAAGUUAUUAACAUUGAAUUAAAUUAUCAAUAAGCUGCAAGAAAGCUCAUGAACGUCGAACACAUUCAUCGCGUUCUUCAUCCAUGCUCGCAUCCAAUCUCCAGCAUCAUCAUGGAGCAUCGAGUUUCCGAAUUCAUGAUUCGUGUUUGUGCGUUCUGACCGGAGCACCGCAUUUUGGAUUGCAACAGUUAGUGUUUUGGAUUGACAUCGUUUUGCUUUCGCCUCGCGUCUAUGGAAUUGAAGCAUCGUGGAUUCAUCAUUUCGGCACCGCGUUCAAGAAUUGCAGAAUGCCUCAUUUUCACGUCUUGGAUUCACGUUUGGAAUUCAACCGAAUCGCAGCCAAAAUACUCAAAUCUUAGCAAGGAAAUGGAAGAAAACUCAUCGGACUUUGAGCUCCGGCAUGGUGGCAUAAAUAUGUGGAGUUUCAAAACAAAGAGUUCUUGUUAGUGAAUGGUUAAUGUGCCUUUGGAUGGAUGCAAAUAGUUAGUUUUGGUCCUGGUUUCAUGGUUUAUGUUCAUGAAGGAUGGUGAUUGAACAAUGCAAGAUAAUCAAGAUUGGACUUUAAGGCAUCCAUGUACAAAUGGCAAAGAUGCAAAGAUCAAAAUGUAUUUUAAGGAUUAGGAUUAGUAUUAGAGUUGAUGAUUUAGGGUUUUAGGAUGGAAAAAAGGGGUUGGGUUGACUUUGGUCAAAGAUUGACCAAAAAAUCAACUGUUGACCAAAGUCAACAUUUGGAAAAAAUUGCAUUUUUUGUAAUUUUUGUAUGAAUCUUGUAAACUUGGCAUUGUUUUAAUGGAAUGCACACUUUGGAUGGAAA